AGAGUUUGAUCAUGGCUCAGAUUGAACGCUGGCGGCAUGCCUUACACAUGCAAGUCGAACGGUACGGGCCUUCGGGUGCCGACGAGUGGCGAACGGGUGAGUAAUGCAUCGGAACGUACCUUUCAGUGGGGGAUAACGUAGCGAAAGUUACGCUAAUACCGCAUAUUCUGUGAGCAGGAAAGCAGGGGAUCGCAAGACCUUGUGCUGAUUGAGCGGCCGAUGUCAGAUUAGCUAGUUGGUGAGGUAAAAGGCUCACCAAGGCGACGAUCUGUAGCGGGGUCUGAGAGGAUGAUCCGCCACACUGGAACUGAGACACGGUCCAGACUCCUACGGGAGGCAGCAGUGGGGAAUUUGGACAAUGGGGGCAACCCUGAUCCAGCCAUGCCGCGUGAGUGAAGAAGGCCUUCGGGUUGUAAAGCUCUUUCGGCCGGGAAGAAAUCGCAUGGGUUAAUACCCUGUGCGGAUGACGGUACCGGCAUAAGAAGCACCGGCUAACUACGUG
rnacentral:rRNA from 1 species